AUUGAACGCUGGCGGCAGGCCUAACACAUGCAAGUCGAGCGGGGCGGCGGACGGGUGAGUAAUGCCUAGGAAUCUGCCUGUUAGUGGGGGAUAACGUCCGGAAACGGGCGCUAAUAUCACAUCCUCUCAGAUGAGCCUAGGUCGGAUUAGCUAGUUGGUGGGGUAACGGCCUACCAAGGCGACGAUCCGUAACUGGUCUGAGAGGAUGAUCAGUCACACGGGAACUGAGACACGGUCCAGACUCCUACGGGAGGCAGCAGUGGGGAAUAUUGGACAAUGGGCGAAAGCCUGAUCCAGCCAUGCCGCGUGUGUGAAGAAGGUCUUCGGAUUGUAAAGCACUUUAAGUUGGGAGGCGUUACCAACAGAAUAAGCACCGGCUAACUUCGUGCCAGCAGCCGCGGUAAUUC
rnacentral:rRNA from 1 species